rnacentral:rRNA from 1 species
AACGAACGCUGGCGGCAUGCCUAACACAUGCAAGUCGAACGAGACCUUCGGGUCUAGUGGCGCACGGGUGCGUAACGCGUGGGAACCUGCCCUUAGGUUCGGAAUAACUCCCCGAAAGGGGUGCUAAUACCGGAUAAUGUCGUCGGACCAAAGAUUUAUCGCCUUUGGAUGGGCCCGCGUUGGAUUAGCUAGUUGGUAGGGUAAAAGCCUACCAAGGCGACGAUCCAUAGCUGGUCUGAGAGGAUGAUCAGCCACACUGGGACUGAGACACGGCCCAGACUCCUACGGGGGGCAGCAGUGGGGAAUAUUGGACAAUGGGCGAAAGCCUGAUCCAGCAAUGCCGCGUGAGUGAUGAAGGCCUUAGGGUUGUAAAGCUCUUUUACCCGGGAUGAUAAUGACAGUACCGGGAGAAUAAGCUCCGGCUAACUCCGUG